AGUACGUGGAAUAAUUCUAUCAAAGGGAAGACUGAGGGCAGCAGCAGAGUAGAGACUUAGGAGUACAACACUGCAGCUUCAAGUACGGGGACUAAUUGUAUCAACGGUAAGACUGAUGGCAGCAGCAAAGUGGAGAUUGUGGAGUACAACACCGCAGCUUUAAGUACGGGGACUAAUUCUAUCAACGGGAAGACUGAGGGCAGCAGCAGAGUCGAGACUUAGGAGUACAACACUGCAGCUUCAAG